rnacentral:snoRNA from 1 species
UUGCCCUUUGCCUCGCUCGACUGUGCUCAAUCAUUGUGCAGUCUUGAGCUGGAUAGCAGCUUAUCUGCUAAUGGGCUAGAUCGAAUUUAAGCACUUCAUUGAGUACGCCGGCGUUUGCAUUGUAGCGUCGGUGUAAUUAGAUAGUACUACAUCC